rnacentral:rRNA from 1 species
AUUGAACGCUGGCGGCAUGCUUUACACAUGCAAGUCGAACGGUAACAGGCCGAAAGGUGCUGACGAGUGGCGAACGGGUGAGUAAUGCAUCGGAACGUGCCCAGUCGUGGGGGAUAACGCAGCGAAAGCUGCGCUAAUACCGCAUACGAUCUAUGGAUGAAAGCGGGGGACAGUAAGGCCUCGCGCGCUUGGAGCGGCCGGUGGCAGAUGAGGUAGGUGGUGGGGUAAAGGCUCACCAAGCCAACGAUCUGUAGCUGGUCUGAGAGGACGACCAGCCACACUGGGACUGAGACACGGCCCAGACUCCUACGGGAGGCAGCAGUGGGGAAUUUUGGACAAUGGGCGCAAGCCUGAUCCAGCAAUGCCGCGCGCAGGAAGAAGGCCUUCGGGUUGUAAACUGCUUUUGUACGGAACGAAACGGUCUGGGUUAAUACCCUGGGCUAAUGACGGUACCGUAAGAAUAAGCACCGGCUAACUACGUGCCAGCCGCCGCCGUAAAAC